GCAUCAUUGGUUUAGUGGUAAAAUCCGACGUUGCCAUCGUCGGGCCCCGUGUUCGAUUCACGGAUGAUGCA